UCCAGACUCCUACGGGAGGCAGCAGUGGGGAAUAUUGCACAAUGGGGGGAACCCUGAUGCAGCGACGCCGCGUGGGUGAAGGAGCGUUUCGGCGCGUAAAGCCCUAUCGGCAGGGAAGAAGGAGGACGGUACCUGACUAAGAAGCCCCGGCUAACUACGUGCCAGCAGCCGCGGUAAUACGUAGGGGGCAAGCGUUAUCCGGAUUUACUGGGUGUAAAGGGGGCGCAGACGGCAGCGCAAGCCAGGAGUGAAAGCCCGGGGCCCAACCCCGGGACUGCUCUUGGAACUGCGCGGCUGGAGUGCAGGAGGGGCAGGCGGAAUUCCUGGUGUAGCGGUGAAAUGCGUAGAUAUCAGGAGGAACACCGGUGGCGAAGGCGGCCUGCUGGACUGCGACUGACGUUGAGGCCCGAAAGCGUGGGGAGCAAACAGGAUUAGAUACCCGUGUAU
rnacentral:rRNA from 1 species